rnacentral:rRNA from 1 species
AAGACCUUGCGCUUUUGGAGCGGCCGAUGUCUGAUUAGCUUGUUGGUGAGGUAAAAGCUUACCAAGGCUUCGAUCAGUAGCUGGUCUGAGAGGACGACCAGCCACACUGGGACUGAGACACGGCCCAGACUCCUACGGGAGGCAGCAGUGGGGAAUUUUGGACAAUGGGGGAAACCCUGAUCCAGCCAUGCCGCGUGAGUGAAGAAGGCCUUCGGGUUGUAAAGCUCUUUCAGCCGGAACGAAACGGUUACGGUUAAUACCCGUGACUACUGACGGUACCGGAAGAAGAAGCACCGGCUAACUACGUGCCAGCAGCCGCGGUAAUACGUAGGGUGCAAGCGUUAAUCGGAAUUACUGGGCGUAAAGCGUGCGCAGGUGGUUUUGUAAGUCAGAUGUGAAAUCCCCGGGCUUAACCUGGGAACU